UACAUGGGGUGCAAACGUUGCUCGGAAUUAUUGGGCGUAAAGCGCGCGUAGGCGGUUACUUAAGUCGGAUGUGAAAGCCCUCGGCUUAACUGAGGAAGUGCACCCGAAACUGAGUAGCUAGAGUACGAAAGAGGGUCGCGGAAUUCCCGGUGUAGAGGUGAAAUUCGUAGAUAUCGAGAGGAACACCGGUGGCGAAGGCGGCCUUCUGGACAGUGACUGACGCUGAGACGCGAAAGCGUGGGGAGCAAACAGG
rnacentral:rRNA from 1 species